rnacentral:lncRNA from 1 species
CCAUCGCCCAGGAUAUGGAACAAUUCGAUCUUCUCUAGGAUAUGAUAGAUAUGUUAGUGCCAGCAAAGAUGCAUCUUGUUAGGCAAUGAUUAAAUAUUUCAGUGUCAUUCCAAGCUGUUUUACUGUGCAUGCAGUAGGAAUCUGUCCAUGUAGGCAUCAAUGCACUGUGAUCAUAAGAUUUCUGAUUUUUUAAAAAAAAUAAUAAUAAUAAAGUUGCGUGUAUUGGGGAGGGGG